UACGAAGGGGGCUAGCGUUGUUCGGAAUUACUGGGCGUAAAGGGCGCGUAGGCGGUCCUGAUCGUCGGAUGUGAAAGGCCUGGGCUCAACCUGGGAACUGCAUCCGAUACGGCGGGACUGGAGUGUGGGAGAGGUUGGUGGAAUUCCCAGUGUAGAGGUGAAAUUCGUAGAUAUUGGGAAGAACACCGGUGGCGAAGGCGGCUGCCUGGCCCAAUACUGACACUCAGGUGCGACAGCGUGGGGAGCAAACAGG
rnacentral:rRNA from 1 species